GCUGUCAGUGGUGACCUCCUCUUCUUCUGACCCAUGCCCUAGGUAUCAAAGUCUCAACAGCCCUAGAACGCUGAUAACAAAGGGAAACCAUCAAGCUGAAACCACAACAGAACAGAAAACAGCUCUGUGUGAAUGGGCAGGAAGGUGAAGGGAGUAAAGCCAGAGAGAGAAUGUGCCAGGUGCCAUAAUCAGUCAAGAAACAUCACAUGUCUUCUGCGCAUCAAUCUGCAUGAUUAUUCUCUUGUCUCAGGCUGCUUCCUUUGAAGGUCAAUUCCUGAAAGGUAUGACACCACAGAUCCUAAAAAUUUUACAGAAAGAC
rnacentral:lncRNA from 1 species